UCGCCGGACAAGUGCUGCAUUUCUUAAAUCCAGCCCCUAGAGCCUGAAGAGCCGCCCUCUCUGUCCUCGACUGCACGCCCCUAACCAACAUUAAACACAACCUCAGUACAAGUAAAAGUACACGAGUUGCAAGGUUUUCAGCUGUGUUGAAGCAGCCACUGGGUUUAAUGAGCCGGAUGUGGUCACUGAGAACCAGAGAUGUGAACAAAGAUAAUUGCUGUGGAGGUGUGGUGAAGAAAUAGGGCACAGCCGAAAGCAUCGCUGAAUUACUCCACAGUGGUUUUACUGUGAACAUUUGUAAAGAGGUGGAUGGACUGAAAGGUUUCUGCUGUUUUACGGCCUGGGGUUUGAGGCUGGAACUGUUCUGGAAUCAAAAACGUCUCUCUGUGUGAGUGUUGAGGAGGGCAUCGAGGCACGACCAGGUUCUAACUGAUAUAUAUUUCGACGAGUGAGGUCCUCGACAUAAUCAGAUGUUCCACAGCCUGCACAGAAACCCUGAAGUCCUAAUGAAGAGCACUUGUGAAUGUGAGCUGCUGUAGAGGAGUUGUUCUGCUGGACGUGUUUAAAGGACUUCAGAAGGAUAUGACAUCACAUGCUCAGGUCAAGACAGUCUGAAACACCCCAGACCUUAAAGAUACAAAUCUUGCUCUCAACAGAUGACUGUCUCCAGAUGCUCUGCACAGUCCAGGUGAGAUGAUGCCUCAUGUAAAGGACUGGCUGACUGGUUGUUGGAAUCUAUACUGACUUCUAUUGCCAUGGAUACCACAUCACAUGACCUAUUUGGAUUGUAGAAUUCCUGCCAUGCAUUAAUGAAUCAACA